rnacentral:rRNA from 1 species
AGUGAAUGAUGGAGGGAGGAAGAACACAUGCAAGUCGAACGGCAGCACAGUAAGAGCUUGCUCUUACGGGUGGCGAGUGGCGGACGGGUGAGGAAUACAUCGGAAUCUACUUUUUCGUGGGGGAUAACGUAGGGAAACUUACGCUAAUACCGCAUACGACCUACGGGUGAAAGCAGGGGAUCUUCGGACCUUGCGCGAUUGAAUGAGCCGAUGUCGGAUUAGCUAGUUGGCGGGGUAAAGGCCCACCAAGGCGACGAUCCGUAGCUGGUCUGAGAGGAUGAUCAGCCACACUGGAACUGAGACACGGUCCAGACUCCUACGGGAGGCAGCAGUGGGGAAUAUUGGACAAAGGGCGCAAGCCUGAUCCAGCCAUACCGCGUGGGUGAAGAAGGCCUUCGGGUUGUAAAGCCCUUUUGUUGGGAAAGAAAAGCAGCAGGUUAAUACCCCGCUGUUCUGACGGUACCCAAAGAAUAAGCACCGGCUAACUUCGUG